rnacentral:rRNA from 1 species
AAGGGUUGCUAAUACCGCAUGUGGUGACGUGUUCGGUCACGUCAUCAAAGCCGCAAGGCGCUUCGGGAGGGGCCUGCGUCCGAUUAGCUCGUUGGUGGGGUAACGGCUCACCAAGGCGACGAUCGGUAGGUGGUCUGAGAGGACGAUCACCCAGACUGGGACUGAGACACGGCCCAGACUCCUACGGGAGGCAGCAGUCGGGAAUUUUGCUCAAUGGGCGAAAGCCUGAAGCAGCAACGCCGCGUGAGGGAUGACGGCCUUCGGGUUGUAAACCUCUUUUCUCAGGGACGAUAAUGACGGUACCUGAGGAAUAAGCCACGGCUAACUACGUGCCAGCAGCCGCGGUAAUACGUAGGUGGCGAGCGUUGUCCGGAUUUACUGGGCGUAAAGAGCGCGCAGGCGGUCGUGCAAGUCGAGUGUGAAAGCCCCCGGCUCAACUGGGGAGGGUCACUCGAUACUGCUCGACUCGAAGGCGGGAGA